GCCGGGUGUGGUAGUGCACACCUGUAAUCCCAGCUACUUGGGAAGCUGAGACAGGAGAAUCACUUGAACCUGGGAGGCAGAGGUUGCAGUGAGCCGAGACUGCACCACUGCACUCCAGCCUGGGUGACAGAGAGAGACCCUGUCUCAA
rnacentral:SRP_RNA from 1 species